rnacentral:pre_miRNA from 1 species
GGAGCUCCUGCAGGGGCGAGCUGGGAACACAUGCGAUGCGAUUACCGGCGGUCGCCGGUCGGCAGGCAUGUGUUCUCAGGUCGCCCCCGCCGGGCCCUC